UACGUAGGGGGCGAGCGUUAUCCGGAUUUACUGGGUGUAAAGGGAGCGUAGACGGUUUUUCAAGUCUGAAGUGAAAGCCCGCGGCUCAACUGCGGAACGGCUUUGGAAACUGAGGGACUAGAGUGCUGGAGGGGCAGGCGGAAUUCCUGGUGUAGCGGUGAAAUGCGUAGAUAUCAGGAGGAACACCGGUGGCGAAGGCGGCCUGCUGGACAGUAACUGACGUUGAGGCUCGAAAGCGUGGGGAGCAAACA
rnacentral:rRNA from 1 species